rnacentral:rRNA from 1 species
GGACUACAAGGGUAUCUAAUCCCGUUCGCUCCCCACGCUUUCGCACAUCAGCGUCAGUGUUAGCCCAGAGCACUGCCUUCGCCAUUGGUAUUCCUCCUGAUCUCUACGCAUUUCACCGCUACACCAGGAAUUCCAUGCUCCUCUGCCACACUCAAGUCUCCCAGUCUCCAAGGCACUGUUCACGUUGAGCGCUGAACCUUUCACCCCAGACUUAAGAAACCGCCUACGCGCGCUUUACGCCCAGUAACUUCGGACAACGCUCGCCCCCUACGUAUUACCGCGGCGGCUGGCAC